GUCGAUGACGCUAGCGGCAGGCUUACACAUGCAAGUCGAGGGGUAACAGGGAUAGCUUGCUAUUUGCUGACGACCGGCGCACGGGUGCGUAACGCGUAUAGAAACCUACCUUUUACAAAGGGAUAGCCCAGAGAAAUUUGGAUUAAUACCUUAUAGUAUUAUAGAUUGGCAUCGAUUUAUAAUUAAAGAUUUAUUGGUAAAAGAUGGCUAUGCGUCCUAUUAGUUAGUUGGUAAGGUAACGGCUUACCAAGGCAGCGAUAGGUAGGGGUCCUGAGAGGGAGACCCCCCACACUGGUACUGAGACACGGACCAGACUCCUACGGGAGGCAGCAGUGAGGAAUAUUGGGCAAUGGAGGCAACUCUGACCCAGCCAUGCCGCGUGCAGGAAGACGGUCCUAUGGAUUGUAAACUGCUUUUAAACAGGAAGAAACGCAUUCUCGUGAGAAUGUUUGACGGUACUGUAAGAAUAAGCACCGGCUAACUCCGUGCCAGCAGCCGCGGUAAUACGGAGGGUGCAAGCGUUAUCCGGAAUCAUUGGGUUUAAAGGGUCCGUAGGCGGUUAAUUAAGUCAGGGGUGAAAUCCCACAGCUCAACUGUGGCAUUGCCUUUGAUACUGGUUAACUUGAGUUACAGUGAAGUAGAUAGAAUAUGWAGUGUAGGCGGUGAAAUGCAUAGAUAUUACAUAGAAUACCGAUUGCGAAGGCAGUCUACUAACUGUAUACUGACGCUAAGGGACGAAAGCGUGGGGAGCGAACAGGAUUAGAUACCCUGGGUAGUCCACGCCGUAAACGAUGGAWACUAGCYGUUGGACGUAAGUUCAGUGGCCAAGCGAAAGUGAUAAGUAUCCCACCUGGGGAGUACGUCGCAACAACAGGA
rnacentral:rRNA from 1 species